AAUUUCCCAUUACCAUAAAUCAAACUUACCUACCUCCAUCUCUCUCUAGGUUUCCGUACCAAUAUUUCCAUUCUCCAAGUUUAGAUUCUUUCAUCAAUUUUGCUUCUUUUCUCAUUUUCUCCAAUUUUAUUUUUAUUUUCCUUACCGACUUCCAUCAAUUAUUACUUUAAAUUUUAAAAAAAUCGGUUCCAAUCAUUUGUUUGCUGCGUGAUUUCAUCUCUAUUUGGAGGAUAACAUAGAAAAACACAGAUAUCCUAUUCACAAUCUCGAUUUCUGUUUGAUUUCAAAGUGAACCGGUGCACAAAAUGUUGUAUUUUUCUACCAACUUCCAUCCAAAUUUAUCUCGAAAGGUAUGGAGUGUUAUGAUUUCAGGAGAAGAUGUUGCAGUUCUUAGACAGGCUGAAACAUUUGCUUUCCGCUAUUGUAAGUUGUUGUGACUGUGAGAUAUACAAGCAACCAAGGGGCCUAGAAAGUCCUGAAGCUCUAGCGAGGGAAACAGUGUGUAUGUCAUCUUAAUUUUUGAAUUUUAUCAAUUUCUUCAAGUGCAAGUCAGCAUCAUCUUCUGUAUUGUUUCAUAUUCUAUUCGAAUGGAGAUGGUAUCCAUGUGAAUGCCAGCGAAACUAGUGCAAGAUGCUUUGAGAUUUUUUUGGUUUAUGUAAUUAAAUAUGGUUGCAUCUUCCAUGUUUUA